GAUUACCGUGAGUUUAGCCUUCUGCUCCUCGGUGUAGGUGUGACACUUGAAGAUCAUUUCCACCUUCCGCUCCCACUCGAGGUAUGCCUUUGGACUCGAUCUCCCUUGAAAUGCUGGAAUUUUCAUUUUGAUCCCUUUGAUAGGAUCACUCCCUUGGUUUGGUUCGUAAAUUCUCGGUCUUGACCUCCGCUCAACCUCUUCAUCAUUGGAGCUCUUGGAUUCUCCCAUGUUGAUUUUGUCUCAUCGUCCCUUGGAUGGUGUUUGAGACAACUCCAACUUAUCCAUUCUUUCAUGCAAAGACUCAAUGUUGUUAUUGAUUCGUCUUGCAAAAUCACCAAGCAAAGCCUCAAGUUUAAGUGUGAGGUUUACUUUAGAUUCAUGUUCUUCCUUUGCUUAGGUACCCUGCAAGAAAAUGUUAGUAUAAAAGAAUAAAAUUUUCCUUUCUCACUCCCUC
rnacentral:lncRNA from 1 species